GGAUAAAAGCUACGGCGGUUUCAGAUGGCCAUGCGUACCAUUAGUUAGUUGGUGAGGUAAAGGCUCACCAAGGCGAUGAUGGUUAGGGGUCCUGAGAGGGUAGUCCCCCACACUGGUACUGAGACACGGACCAGACUCCUACGGGAGGCAGCAGUGAGGAAUAUUGGUCAAUGGGCGCUAGCCUGAACCAGCCAUGCCGCGUGCAGGAAGACGGCCCUACGGGUUGUAAACUGCUUUUCUGCAGGAAGAAUAUAUAGUCUUAGGGGUAUAUUGACGGUACUGCAGGAAUAAGCAUCGGCUAUCUCCGUGCCAGCAGCCGCGGUAAUACGGAGGAUGCAAGCGUUAUCCGGAUUCAUUGGGUUUAAAGGGUGCGCAGGCUGUAAAGCAAGUCAGUGGUGGAAGCCCUGGGCUUAACUCAGGGAUUGCCAUUGAAACUGUUUCACUAGAGUGUAGUAGAGGACGGCGGAAUGAGUUGUGUAGCGGUGAAAUGCAUAGAUAUAACUCAGAACACCUAUUGCGUAGGCAGCUGUCUAUACUACAACUGACGCUGAGGCACGAAAGCGUGGGGAGCGAACAGGAUUAGAUACCCUGGUAGUCCACGCUGUAAACGAUGAUCACUCGUUGUUGGCUACUUAGUAGUCAGUGACCAAGGGAAACCGAUAAGUGAUCCACCUGGGGAGUACGUCGGCAACGAUGAAACUCAAAGGAAUUGACGGGGGCCCGCACAAGCGGAGGAACAUGUGGUUUAAUUCGAUGAUACGCGAGGAACCUUACCUGGGCUUAAAUGCUGGCUGCAUUGGAGGGAAACCUUCAUUUCCUACGGGACCGCCAGCAAGGUGCUGCAUGGUUGUCGUCAGCUCGUGCCGUGAGGUGUCGGGUUAAGUCCCAUAACGAGCGCAACCCCUAUCGCUAGUUGCCAGCAUGUAAUGGUGGGGACUCUAGCGAGACUGCCGGUGUAAACCGGAGGAAGGUGGGGAUGACGUCAAAUCAGCACGGCCCUUACGUCCAGGGCUACACACGUGUUACAAUGGCCGGUACAAAGAGCAGCCACCUGGCGACAGGGCGCUAAUCUCUAAAACCGGUCUCAGUUCGGAUCGAAGUCUGCAAUUCGACUUCGUGAAGGUGGAUUCGCUAGUAAUCGCGCAUCAG
rnacentral:rRNA from 1 species